CAUUAAUCUGGAUUUGGGGGUAAUUUAAAAAGACUCUCAAAAGAGCCCACUUAUUGGUCAACUCUCUUGAAGCCUCCUCCGCUGUUGCCAUGGAAUGUCACUUUCAUUGUAGUUGGAACAAGACUCACUGGUGAGGAGCAUGCACUAAACUGUCCUCCUAAACCUGCAUCCCUUAUGGCAAACACACUUCCAGAAUGGUGAAAUGUUCCUUUUACUGUUCAUGAAAUACAGGAUUUGUAAAGUGAAAUCCAAACCCUGAAUGGGAGUUUCGCAGAAGCAGCAGGACUCCCGAGUUCUUCUCUCGUGUGUUUCAGCGUUCAUCUUUAAUCUCCUCCUCCAUCUUCUUCUCCUCCGCCUCCUCCUCGGUGUUAUUGUUUUUAUCCGAGGACUAACCUGGACUUGUCUGGGUGAAAUGAAGGCCAAAGGGUCGCGGAGCCUGAAUGAGCUUGUUGUCUGGCAGGUGAAUCUGCAGCCGGUAACAAUAAAAGCAGAGCGAUAAAGGAUCAGAGAUACUAUCUGGUGACUGCACAAACACACACACUCACUCAAAAAGACACACAAACCCGGCCCAGAUAUGCUGAGAGUCACUGGAGGAAGUCUUCCUGAAUCUGAGAUGAAACCGGGAUGUUUUGGCGAGAAGCAUGUGUGUUUGUUCGCACAUGCACAGAAAUGGAAACACACACAUGAUUACAUGUGAUCUUAAGUUUUUACAUCAGAACCACUCAAGUUUGAUCUCCCAGGAAAUGAGUGUGUGUCAACAGAUCAAAGAUGACACAAUCCUCAGAGGCCUGAGUUUCAAAAUAGGUCCAAAUAUCCUCAAAGCGCCGGUUUGGACUUGAAAUGUCCACCCCUCCUUUGAGAGCCUAUGUCUGAAGUGGGUAUGUUAGUCAUCCAACAACUGAGACAGGUUUGCAGCAAAGCAUGGUGAAGCACUAAAGGUGUCAUAUCAGGAGUUUUGAGAAGGUUGUGUUUGAUCAGACUCAGUCACUAUGACGUCUUUGGUAGAUUAAGGGGGCGUGUCUUUAAACAGUUAAGAUUAUCAACAAGUUCCCCUUUAGCUUCUCUUCAUGCCUAGGGUGACCAUACAUCCUUUUGGACAUGUCCUCUGUUUGGGCACUGAAUUGAUGCACUGUGCUCUAGCGUCCGGCAAAAAUAGAAGCCUUGUGUAUCUGAUGCGGCUGCUGGAGUCGAUCCGCAGCAGAGCCGGACAUGGCGGAUGGAUUCUUUUAAAUGACUUACAUUGAUUAUAAUGCUUGCAUUUGAUCCACCUGCCGUGCUGGAGCGGAGCCAUUCCGGAUCCUGUGGGUAUUGCCCGUUAGAAGCACGUAAAAACACUUGACCCGACCCAAAAACCCCUCAAAAUUUACCAAGUGCGACUCCGCAACUCUGUCCUGCAUAGUAGUGUCAUGUAGUGCGUGCUUACUGUUAAGGUUUGUCAAACUGAAAGGAGGGAUGUCUAUAGGGAAGAAGGACAUGCUUUUAACCGGUGCAUGUUAACUGGGACAAGGACAGUAGUCUGGUUGAACAUACUGACUGAUAGACGGCUACUCCAGCGGUCUGCAGCCCACUGCCUGUGAACAGAGAGAGGAGCUCCACGGAUUCAGACUGAGACCUUUUUAAAAUGACAGUCUGGUGUACGUUGACGAGAGGAGGGGAAGAGGAAGACAACUCGGGCUCUAGCAGAGCUUCAGGCAGCAGAUGCUGCACUGAUGAAGCCAAUACCAGAACAAAAUCAUUUCUAGAUCAUAACAAACAUCUUAAAUUCAUACUCCAGUUCAGACUCCUCCCCAGUAAUAGACUGAGCGAUGAGACUUGUCAUGUUUUUUCAGUUGUUUUCAAGUUGUGUGGCAUCAAAACAAAGAGCGAGAACAUGCUGUCCUGAGUUUAUGUGAGCGGGAUUAUGAAGCCAUCCUUCAUCAAUAUGCUUUUAUGUACAAACAAGUUCAAACACGUCAAAUACAAAUCUACGGACCAUCAAAGGACAGCGCAGGAGUGACCUUGGUUUGUGUGUAGGAGUAAAUGUGUGUGUGUUUGUGGGAGUGUGUGUCUUGGCCUGUGUAAGCCCUCUGUCUCCCCUUUGAUUUCAUUUCCAUAUGCUCGUCUCUGAUGGUGUGUUCAUGUGACGGUCGGAGGAAUAAAACACUCAUUAGAAAAAUAUUCCACUCGAGCAGAGCGAAAGAAAACACGCUGUGGAUUUAUAUAGACUGCACACACACACACACACACGUACACAGACACACACAGGCUGUGGAAUAUUAGAUUUAUCAUCAUUAUCGAGAAAAUACUUUUCAGAUUUGGAAAGAAAACUCCAGUUUAACCUCCAUCACUAAAUCUCCACUUUUUCUCCUUGAGCUCUGUAAAUCCUGCGUACACUAACCCACUCCACAGACCACACUCACCAUCUCACCGUGGAGCUUUUCUCGCUAUGUCUCACUCGAAAAGUCUCUCUGAUGCCACUCAGACCAGAUCUUUUCAGUCUUUAAACUUUUACCUGCUGUUCCUUUGUCUCUGCGAUCUGAAAACACUUACUAAAUGUCUGAGUAUUCUCCUCACAGACACACGUCUUUAUAACUUUAUUAAAGUCAAAUCUUAUUAGAGCGGCAUAAAGUUCAACAAACUUGAGAUUUCAGAGAGAAAACGUCUUUUACAGCCGUCAUUAUCACAUCUGUUUACUUUUACGAAGUCACGUCAUAUUCCCCUUCAGGUCUGGAUGACCUGCAGUUUCAGACUAACUAAUGCUGUUGGAUCUCAGGUAAGUGUUUUUCUCUUCUUUUAAAUGUUUGCAAUUAGAAAUAAUUCGUAGAUUUAGAAAGAAAGUUUGAAAACAGCUACAAAAAUUUACAGACUAGCUGGAGUUAUCAUAGCUAGCCAAACUUUGACGUCUCGGCAUGAAACAGAAAAUUGUUUUAACUCCUUCGGACAAUCUUUAAUUUCAGUGAAACUUUAUAUGAAUGUUCCAUAGACUGUAUAUAGAAUACAGAAUGGUUUCCAUGGAAUGAUCCAUAGUCCAUCCCUGAACACAUCGAUCUAACCCCAACCCUACAAUGACAGUCAUAGCGCCACCUUGUGGGUACAUACAGUACUAACUUUAACAUAUAUUGUCUGAUUUCUUUCAACAGGUUUGAUGACGGUACCCGUCUCAGCUAACAGGAAGUAGUAUGUUUAGAGAUGCUGCUAAUCUGUUACCAUGCACGCCAGGCCGUCCUGUAUCCAGUCUGAGAGCCGGUACAUCUUUGGGGUCAGUGGAGGACAACAGCAGAAGAUGGGGUUCAUCAGGAAUCAUCUGUAAGUGAUUGUUCCGUCAUGUAUCUGAGUCCUUCAGCUUUCAGUCCGUCCGUCAUCUUCGUACGCUCACCCCUCCGACCCUUUUGUUUCCCGCCUCGCGUGUGAAGAGGCCGAUUUCUCGACGGCUCUCCGUUUUGAUGAACCUCGUUAAAAAAUGAAAGUACAUUCCUCGAUCACUUUAUGGUCUUGUUGACCACUUACAAAUACGUGAACACACCGGUUCCUGCUGGUGUUUACCGUGUCCAUGUGCUUGUAAAACAGUGCUGUUGAUAACGUACACACAUACUACACACACAAAAACACACACACACUUCUAUACACACAGCUGCCAGCCUGUGUGUCUGUGUUCGUGGAGAGCUUUCAUGUCGGGCUUUGAAAAGCUGCUUCACCUUGCCAAGACAUCGCUGCUUAAAGAAACACAGGUGGGCCAAAUUUCUCAAAUGCCUUCUCCGAAAAUGUGAGUGCUGAUUUUUGCCAGCGGAGGAACAAUAACAGUCGUUACAGCGAGGUGAGAGAACGGUCAGUGAGGGGGUUUAAUUUCAGCUGGAUGCCACAUUGACCAAUUAGAUUUAACAAAGCGGAUGGCAAAGGUAGCUGAAGGUUUGACUCCCAGUUUCCCCCUAAACAUGUUUAUUUCUUUACAGUAUGAAAUAGUGUGAUCAACUCAUAAACUCAACCUGAGAGCGGCGUAUAAUCCAAACCAGAGAACAAUACUCGCUUUUAUGACAAUUGAAUUAUUCCCAAAACUUCAUGUUCCCUGGCGAACUCGAGUACGAAACCUGAAGGUGAUGACAGGAAAUUCUUAUUAACUUGAUUUAGCUUCAACUUAACGACACUCACCUCCUUGUGGAUGUCCUGUCAUAAAAAACAAGCAGUUAACAUCCAAAUUCUGCCAAUGUGAAUGAAAGAAGUGAUGUGAAUGGAUGUAUAAGUUUGAG